UCGAACGAUGAAGCGGUGCUUGCACCGUGGAUUAGUGGCGAACGGGUGAGUAAUACGUGAGUGACCUACCUUUGACUCUGGGAUAAGCCUGGGAAACUGGGUCUAAUACCGGAUACGACCAAUCUCUGCAUGGGGUGUUGGUGGAAAGCGUUAUGGAGUGGUUUUAGAUGGGCUCACGGCCUAUCAGCUUGUUGGUGAGGUAAUGGCUUACCAAGGCGAUGACGGGUAGCCGGCCUGAGAGGGUGACCGGCCACACUGGGACUGAGACACGGCCCAGACUCCUACGGGAGGCAGCAGUGGGGAAUAUUGCACAAUGGGCGCAAGCCUGAUGCAGCGACGCCGCGUGAGGGAUGACGGCCUUCGGGUUGUAAACCUCUGUUAGCAUCGAAGAAGCGAAAGUGACGGUAGGUGCAGAGAAAGCGCCGGCUAACUACGUGCCAGCAGCCGCGGUAAUACGUAGGGCGCGAGCGUUGUCCGGAAUUAUUGGGCGUAAAGAGCUUGUAGGCGGUUGGUCGCGUCUGCUGUGAAAGGCUGGGGCUUAACCCUGGUUUUGCAGUGGGUACGGGCUAACUAGAGUGCAGUAGGGGAGACUGGAAUUCCUGGUGUAGCGGUGGAAUGCGCAGAUAUCAGGAGGAACACCGAUGGCGAAGGCAGGUCUCUGGGCUGUAACUGACGCUGAGAAGCGAAAGCAUGGGGAGCGAACAGGAUU
rnacentral:rRNA from 1 species